rnacentral:rRNA from 1 species
GACGAACGCUGGCGGCGUGCUUAACACAUGCAAGUCGAACGCUGAAGACCUGGCUUUUGUUGGGUUGGAUGAGUGGCGAACGGGUGAGUAACACGUGAGUAACCUGCCCUCUUCUUUGGGAUAACGCCCGGAAACGGGUGCUAAUACUGGAUAUUCACUGAUCUUCGCAUGGGGGUUGGUGGAAAGGUUUGUUCUGGUGGGGGAUGGGCUCGCGGCCUAUCAGCUUGUUGGUGGGGUGAUGGCCUACCAAGGCUUUGACGGGUAGCCGGCCUGAGAGGGUGACCGGUCACAUUGGGACUGAGAUACGGCCCAGACUCCUACGGGAGGCAGCAGUGGGGAAUAUUGCACAAUGGGCGAAAGCCUGAUGCAGUGACGCCGCGUGGGGGAUGGAGGCCUUCGGGUUGUAAACCUCUUUCGCUCAUGGUCAAGCCGCAACUGUGGGUUGUGGUGAGGGUAGUGGGUAAAGAAGCGCCGGCUAACUACGUGCCAGCAGCCGCGGUAAUACGUAGGGCGCGAGCGUUGUCCGGAAUUAUUGGGCGUAAAGGGCUUGUAGGCGGUUGGUCGCGUCUGCCGUGAAAUUCUCUGGCUUAACUGGGGGCGUGCGGUGGGUACGGGCUGACUUGAGUGCGGUAGGGGAGACUGGAACUCCUGGUGUAGCGGUGGAAUGCGCAGAUAUCAGGAAGAACACCGGUGGCGAAGGCGGGUCUCUGGGCCGUUACUGACGCUGAGGAGCGAAAGCGUGGGGAGCGAACAGGAUUAGAUACCCUGGUAGUCCACGCUGUAAACGUUGGGCACUAGGUGUGGGGGCCACCCGUGGUUUCUGCGCCGUAGCUAACGCUUUAAGUGCCCCGCCUGGGGAGUACGGCCGCAAGGCUAAAACUCAAAGGAAUUGACGGGGGCCCGCACAAGCGGCGGAGCAUGCGGAUUAAUUCGAUGCAACGCGAAGAACCUUACCAAGGCUUGACAUGCACGGCGGCACUGCAGAGAUGUGGUGGCAUUUGGUUGGUCGUGUGCAGGUGGUGCAUGGUUGUCGUCAGCUCGUGUCGUGAGAUGUUGGGUUAAGUCCCGCAACGAGCGCAACCCUUGCCCUAUGUUGUCAGCACGUGAUGGUGCGGACCCGUGGGGGACUGCCCGUGUUACUCAUAGGAAGGGGGGGAUGACAUCUAAUCCUCCUUCCCCUCAUGUGUUGGGGCUCACGCCUGCUUCUUUGGUUUGUACUGACCGUUGCUUCCCAGUUUCGCUCAGCCUUACCCCUCUUCUACCUAUCUCAUUUCUGAUUGCGGUC